rnacentral:rRNA from 1 species
AUACGGAGGGUCCAAGCGUUAUCCGGAUUCAUUGGGUUUAAAGGGUGCGCAGGCGGGCUUGUAAGUCAGUGGUGAAAUACUGCCGCUUAACGGUAGAACUGCCAUUGAUACUGCAAGUCUUGAAUAUGGUUGAGGUAGGCGGAAUGUGUUGUGUAGCGGUGAAAUGCAUAGAUAUGACACAGAACGCCAAUUGCGAAGGCAGCUUACUAAGCCAUUAUUGACGCUGAGGCACGAAAGCGUGGGGAGCGAACAGGAUUAGAAACCCCGGUAGUCC